GCCCAACAGACCCAAGACCAAAUGUCAAAGGUCAAACUAGGGUUUCAGCUAUUCUAAAACCCUAACGCCGCAGCCUUCAGACCUCUGCCAUGACGCUCACCUGCCCACUGUCAUGUCGGCCACCCUACCACGCCACCUACUCCAUCCGCGUCUACUCCACCUGCAAAACAAGCAAACACGCAACAGCAAGAGAAAAAUCAGAAACAACAAAAAAUAGAAAACUAAAGUUGUGUAAAUCGGCUAUAAAAGCCUGGAUCUGAUGCUUCUAGAUCUUCUUUUUUUUUUAACGAAUAGGAAAUAAAAAACAAAAAAUAGCAGAUUUGAGAAGUUUUUUUUACUUUCUUUGUUCGAAUCUUUUUAUUUUUCUAUUUUAUUUUCCUUUUUUCUAUUUACUAAAUAACAAGCAAAGAGGGGGAAGGGAAACUCACCGGAGUUUGGCCAUGACCGCGCCGCCAGUGGGUCUCUCCUCCGUUGCCCGAUUUGGGUCUAAAGGCGUUGACGGUCUCCCUUUCGUUUCGCUUCUCGUGGGU
rnacentral:lncRNA from 1 species